UAUGUGUGUGUGUGUGUGUGUAUUGAAAAAUGAACAUAGUUCACAUACAACUGUACCGGUAAAGAGAGGCUCUCCUGCGGCAGGUGCGGGUGCGCUCAAGUGCUAGUGCCCGUAUGCUUUGGUAGGUACGCGAUGCUGCCGUCCGCCCCUAAAAAGGCCUGGCAUCGUGGGAUUAGGGGCGAUCAAGCUUAAGCACCUUGUGUAGUUCCCCCUCGAGCGCAAAACGCAAGAGUCCCCUUUUGGUAUCAGAGCCUUAUAAUACUGCCGAUCCUCUCACUCUCCGAGCACCGGUAAAGAGAGGCUCUCCUGCGGCAGGUGCGGAUGCGCUCAAGUGCUAGUGCCUGUAUGCUUUGGCAUAUAAUUUGUCAAGAGACCACAAGCCUGACCUCAAGGCUGAGAAGGAUAGGAUUCUGAAGGCUGGUGGUUUGGUCCAAUAUGGACGGGUCAAUGGAAGUCUAAACUUGGCAAGAGCAAUUGGUGGAGCUUUGUGAUGACGAUGAAUUUCUCGUGAUAGCGUGUGAUGGUAUAUGGUAAGUCUCUUAUUUGUGUUGCCUCUUCCCUUCUUAAUGUUAUUUUUUUCGAUAAUUAGUUAGUUACAGAUGUUCUUCAUAAAGCUUCAGCCAUAAGUUCUUUGGGGAGUUCAUUGGAUUUAUACUCUUGUUUAGAAGUGAGUAGAGCUCAUAAGUCAUAAGCAUUGUAUUACAAGAAACUAGAAAUCAACCUAAUGAAGAAACAUUGACCAUAUGUUACAUUACUAGAGUUGUGGCUUUUGCUUGCCACUUGGGCCCUGCUUUCAUCCUUCCAGCAGAGUAUUUUAGACUCCUAGCGAAGAGCACUAAUUUUUUUUUUCUUUUUUUGAUUGGCACAGGGGUGUCAAUAUUUAAUGAAUUCAAUAUAAAUUUUGGGCUUGAGUAGGCCACUUUAAACAGAUAUGAGUGGACAAGAAAGGAAUUUAUAUAUAGAUUUUAUACAAGGGAUGGUUUUUAUGGCACUUAUGAUAGCAAUUGAAUUUCUGACUUUUUUGGUCCCUUUGUCAUUCUACUAUGCCCAAAAAGAAGCUUUGCUUGAAUUCAUUUGGCCAUAUAAUGAAGAUGAACCUUUCAUUCAAUUUUCAUUUUACUAAUGGAUUGCUGAGUUUAUUAAGAAGAUUGGUUCUAUCAUUCUAUUGACAGCCCACUAGUCCUUUUAUGCGGUCGAAAGUUUGCUACAAAAAUAGAUAAAUGUAGCUGAGACUGAUCAACCUGGGAUCUAGCUUUGCUUGUUGCACUACAUCUUGCAGCCAUACCCAUCCCUUUCUAUCCUCAUUUUUGCUUUGAUUUCCAUUAGCAACUUCAAAACUAAAUCCCCAAAUCCCAUAAUAUGAAACUCGUGAAAGUCAAUUAAACAUUUUCAUUCCCCAUGUCUCAGCCCCUUCAUCCAAUUCAGAAAGGGCAGGCAACGUCUUUCCCCCCUUCAGGGUGCUAUUCAAAGCUUUCAUUGUGGAAUUGCUUUCAUGAGCUGUUACUUUCUUUCAUACCAUUUAUUGUGUUUGUGGACAGUUGAAUAUAUGCUUAUGAACAUGCGACGAGGCAGUUCCUUGUACUUGCAAGAUAUGAAGGAGGAUGAGACUGAGGCUGAGGCUGGGUUGGAGUGCCUACAUCAAUCUGCAAAGAAAGAGCUACAAGUUUACCUGAAUGUAGAUGGGCCAUUGAAAGACUCCAAUGAGAGUUCCACACAAAAUUAGCAAGACUGGCCAGAUGCAACCCCUUUUGAGUACAUGAUGAUAUCUUCGCAUAUCGAUAUUGGAACUUACUAUAUAUAUGUUUUUUAUUUGUAUUGUCGAUACUUAUGUUUUGUUUUAGAUACAAAAAUUUGAGUUCUUGAAUAUCAAAAAUUAUUAGUAUUGUUGGAGGAUAUUUGAUAUA